rnacentral:lncRNA from 10 species
AGAGUCCCUCGGGUCUCAGGUCAUGGCGGUCGCGGGGCCCGCGCCCGGAGCUGGCGCCAGGCCCAGGUUAGAUCUGCAAUUUCUCCAGCGGUUCCUGCAGAUACUGAAGGUUUUGUUUCCUUCUUGGUCAUCACAAAAUGCCUUGAUGUUCCUGACCCUUUUGUGCCUGACCCUACUGGGGACCAGCGCAUCAGCCAGGACGUGGAGCGAUUCUGCCGGCAGCUCAGCAGCAUGGCCAGCAAGCUCAUCAUCUCCCCGUUCACCCUCGUCUACUACACUUACCAGUGCUUCCAAAGCACAGGCUGGCUCGGGCCUGUGAGCAUCUUCGGGUAUUUCAUCCUGGGGACCGUGGUGAACAAAACUUUGAUGGGCCCCAUUGUGAUGAAGCUGGUGCAUCAGGAGAAGCUGGAGGGAGAUUUUAGGUGUGUCUCCCUCACUUGAGGUUUCUGGGCUGGGGCAUAAUAGUUAAGGAAGGGGAUCUGGAGUAAAACUGCCUAAGUUCAAAUCCUAGCUGUGCCAGUUACUAGCUGUGUGAUCUUGGAGAGG